AAUUGAGCUAAUGUUGAUAGCUAUGGAUUUUGUGAUGAAUAAUCGCGCGCACUCUGCUUCAAAACAUCUCCUUGAGAUAAUGGACAAACAAGAAGAACCUUGGUCAUAUGCUUCGAUAAAAGGAACUACUGAUGUUCAACAUUACACAUACGAUUUAAGCGCAAUACUUUCCUAUUUAGUUGAAAAAGGCAUUGUAGAAGUGGUUUUAUUAGAGACAAAAAACCCUGCUGUAUUUCAACGCGCUUAUAGAUUGAAAGAAAAGUAAUAGUAACAUUCCUUGUGACUUUGAAUAUAAUGAGAUGGUGAAAGCGCCUAGGAAACGAUUAUUUUGCAUUACCCCCAUAUCUUUCCUUGUUUUAAUGUUUGUGUUAAAAAAAUGUAAAAUAAUCGUUGACUUUCAUUAUGAGCCAUGGUAAAGUUAAUUUCGUUGCUGAUUUGAGCAAGCGUUCAGCAAAAAAAGAUUUUAAAAAAACAACAAAAAAGUUGUUGACACAAAAAACACAGCAUGGUAUAUUUAAGAGGUCGCUGCUUAAGAGCGCGGNGCACAAGCGGUGGAGCAUGUGGUUUAAUUCGAAGCAACGCGAAGAACCUUACCAGGUCUUGACAUCCUCUGAACACUCUAGAGAUAGAGUUUUCCCUUCGGGGACAGAGUGACAGGUGGUGCAUGGUUGUCGUCAGCUCGUGUCGUGAGAUGUUGGGUUAAGUCCCGCAACGAGCGCAACCCUUGAUCUUAGUUGCCAGCAUUCAGUUGGGCACUCUAAGGUGACUGCCGGUGACAAACCGGAGGAAGGUGGGGACGACGUCAAAUCAUCAUGCCCCUUAUGACCUGGGCUACACACGUGCUACAAUGGAUGGAACAAAGGGAAGCGAACCCGCGAGGUCAAGCAAAUCCCACAAAACCAUUCUCAGUUCGGAUUGUAGGCUGCAACUCGCCUACAUGAAGCCGGAAUCGCUAGUAAUCGCGGAUCAGCAUGCCGCGGUGAAUACGUUCCCGGGCCUUGUACACACCGCCCGUCACACCACGAGAGUUGGUAACACCCGAAGUCGGUGAGGUAACCUUUUGGAGCCAGCCGCCGAAGGUGGGACUAAUGAUUGGGGUGAAGUCGUAACAAGGUAGCCGUAUCGGAAGGUGCGGCUG
rnacentral:rRNA from 1 species